rnacentral:sRNA from 1 species
UUGCUAGUCCUGGACUCUGAAAUCUUCUAUGCCUAUAAGAAGUACAGCACAGAAAAUGGCAGUUCAGUUUCCUCACAGUGCCCACCAAUGUGCUUCAUUAACCUCUGACUUGUUCCGUGAGGCGCAAGAUCAUGCCCGUUCAACUUCUGGCUGCU